AGUGAACGCUGGCGGUAGGCCUAACACAUGCAAGUCGAACGGCAGCACAGUAAGAGCUUGCUCUUACGGGUGGCGAGUGGCGGACGGGUGAGGAAUACAUCGGAAUCUACUUUUUCGUGGGGGAUAACGUAGGGAAACUUACGCUAAUACCGCAUACGACCUACGGGUGAAAGCAGGGGAUCUUCGGACCUUGCGCGAUUGAAUGAGCCGAUGUCGGAUUAGCUAGUUGGCGGGGUAAAGGCCCACCAAGGCGACGAUCCGUAGCUGGUCUGAGAGGAUGAUCGGCCACACUGGAACUGAGACACGGGCCAGACUCCUACGGGAGGCAGCAGGGGGGAAUAUUGAACAAGGGGCGCAAGCUGGAUCCAGCCAGACCGCGGGGGUGAAGAAGGCCUUCGGGUGGUAAAGCCCUUUGGUUGGGAAAGAAAAGCAGCAGGUUAAUACCCCGCUGUUCGGACGGUACCCAAAGAAUAAGCACCGGCUAACUUCGG
rnacentral:rRNA from 1 species